UGAGCAAUCUGCCCUUCUCAUCGGAAUAAGCGUUGGAAACGACGUCUAAUGCCGAAUACGACCUCCUUUCACACGAUCGGAGGUGGAAAGCUCCGGCGGAGAAGGAUGAGCUCGCGGCCUAUCAGCUAGUUGGUGUGGGUAACGCCCACCAAGGCGACGACGGGUAGCCGGCCUGAGGAGGGUGACCGGCCACACGUGGGACUGAGACACGGCCCAGACCUCCGUACGGGAGCAGCAGG
rnacentral:rRNA from 1 species